GCCCGGGGAGGGCGAGGAGACCCUACAUAGGGCCGGGUGCGGUGCAGCUGCUGCAAAAUGCAAUGGUGGUGGUCUGCGUGCUGGAUGCGGCAGCAGUGCUGCACUGCAUGGUGUUGGUAUACGUGCAGGGUGCAGCAGCGGUGCUGCUCCUCUCUGUGGUGGUGGCCUGCAUGCUGAGCACAGCAGUGGUGCUGCACUGCAUGGUGGUGGUCUGCAUGCUCAGCGCAGCAGUGGUGCUGCAUUGCACAGUGGUGGUGUGCAUGCUGGACGCGGCAGCAGUGCUGCACUGCACGGUGUUGGUGUACAUGCAGGGUGCAGCAACGGUGCUGCUCAUCUCAGUGGUGGUGGCCUGCAUGCUGAGCACAGCGGUGGUGCUGCAUUGCAUGGUGUUGGUCUGCAUGCUCGGUGCAGCAGUGGUGCAGCUCAUUUCUGUGGUGGUGGUCUGCAUGCUGGAUGCGGCAGCAGUGCUGCACGGCACGGUGUUGGUGUACAUGCAGGGUGCAGCAGCGGUGCUGCUCCUCUCUGUGGUGGUGGCCUGCAUGCUGAGCACAGCGGUGGUGCUGCACUGCAUGGUGGUGGUCUGCAUGCUUGGUGCAGCAGUGGUGCAGCUCAUUUCUGUGGUGGUGGUCUGCAUGCUGGAUGUGGCAGCAGUGCUGCACUGCACGGUGGUGGUGUACGUGCAGGGUGCAGCAGCGGUGCUGCGUUGCAUGGUGGUGGCCUGCAUGCUGAGCACAGCAGUGGUGCUGCAUUGCACGGUGGUGGUCUGCAUGCUCGGCGCAGCAGUGGUGCUGCAUUGCACAGUGGUGGUGUGCAUGCUGGAUGCAGCAGCAGUGCUGCACUGCAUGGUGUUGGUGUACAUGCAGGGUGCAGCAGCGGUGCUGCUCAUCUCUGUGGUGGUGGCCUGCAUGCUGAGCACAGCGGUGGUGCUGCAUUGCAUGGUGGUGGUCUGCAUGCUCGGCGCAGCAGUGGUGCAGCUCAUUUCUGUGGUGGUGGUCUGCAUGCUGGAUGCGGCAGCAGUGCUGCACUGCACGGUGGUGGUGUACGUGCAGGGUGCAGCAGCGGUGCUGCUCCUCUCUGUGGUGGUGGCCUGCAUGCUGAGCACAGCGGUGGUGCUGCACUGCAUGGUGGUGGUCUGCAUGCUCGGUGCAGCAGUGGUGCAGCUCAUUUCUGUGGUGGUGGUGUGCAUGCUGGAUGCGGCAGCAGUGCUGCACUGCACGGUGUUGGUGUACGUGCAGGGUGCAGCAGCGGUGCAGCUCAUUUCUGUGGUGGUGGCAUGCAUGCUGGGCUCAGCAGUGGUGCUGCAUUGCAGUGUUGGUCUGCAUGCUGGGCGCAGCAGCGGUGCUGCAUUGCAGUGCUGGUCUGCAUGCUGGGUGCAGUGGCAGUGCUGCUUUGCAAGGUGGUGGCCUGCAUGCUGGGCACAGCAGCGGUGCAGCUCAUUUCCAAGGUGAUGGUCUGCAUGCCGCCUGCAGCAGCAGUCCUGCAUUGCACAGUGGGGGUCUGCAUGCUGGGCGCAGCAGCGGUGCAGCUCAUUUCUGUGGCGGCGGCAUGCUUGUUGGGCACAUCAGCGGUGCUGCAUUGCAGUGUUGGUCUGCAUGCUGGGCGCAGCAGCGGUGCAGCUCAUUUCUGUGGCGGCAGCAUGCUUGUUGGGCGCAGCAGCAGUGCUCCAUUGCAGCGUAUGUCUGCACGCUGGGCACAGCAGCGGUGCAGCUCAUUUCUGUGGUGGUGCCGUGCAUGCUGGGCGCAGCAGCAGUGCCGCAUUGCACGGCGGCAGCGGCGUUUGCGUCGCUCACAUCACAUCCCCCUGCAUCGCCCGCAUCCCUCCCGGUGCAUCGCAGCGAUGGGUUGGCCGGUGCUGCGCUGUUGCUGCGUGCCACGCACCCGGCCGCGGGCGGUGCAGCGGUGCAGCCGUUGCAGGCGGCGCGGCGGUGGC
ensembl:lncRNA